UCCAUUUGGAGUGGCGCGCGCACAAAUACAUGCAGAGACUUUUAAAGACCCACUGAUCCUCAACCAAUCAACAUCAAACACAAAAUUGCAGAGUUUUUAAAAAUAAAAAUAAAAAUGAAAUUUUCCUGUGAAAAUUGCUGUUUCUGUUUGGUUGCUGAGAAAAUUUGAAACCAGGGGACCGAGCGACCUUUUCAGGAUCUCUGGAAGGUUCUGAAAGGUGGGGCCUCAAUCCUCGUUGAUCGGCCUCACCGCUGUCUGCUAGAGUCCCAACACCGUUUAUGAGCACGAGACCCCCAAUUUCGAUACAGUGUGUGGAGUAGGAAUAAGGUGUAUGGAUCCUACUCUAAAAUUCUCUAUCCUGCUGUUGCUUCUCGGAUUGGGCUGCUAUUCUUGGGGUUCUCAUAACUCAUCCACAGCUGUGAAUGCCUCUCCUAUUAAGAAUGAUUUUGAGCAUUGUGAAAGAGCAGUCAAAAAAUGGGCAUUUUCUUCACUUCAACAAGAAGUUAAAGACAAACACACUCUGCGGGAUUUGCUAUUUUUCCUUCACGUCCCCAGAACAGGAGGGCGUACAUAUUUCCACUGUUUCUUGAGAAAGUUGUACUAUAGCUCUCUGGAAUGCCCUCGAUCGUAUGAUAAGCUUCGAUUUGAUCCUAGAAAACAGCAGUGCAGAUUGUUGGUUACUCAUGAUGAUUAUAGUAUGAUGUCCAAACUUCCCAGGGAGAGAACAUCAGUAGUGACAAUACUUAGGAAUCCGGUUGACCGUGUUUUUAGUACUUACGAAUUUUCGGUAGAGGUAGCUGCAAGGUUUUUGGUGCAUCCUAACUUAACUUCUGCAACACAAAUGACAAGACGUAUACGGGCAAAGACUAAAGGAGUAAGCACACUGGAUAUUUGGCCAUGGAAAUAUUUGGUUCCAUGGAUGAGGGAAGACCUUUUUACUCGGAGAGAUGGUCGAAAGCUUAGGGGCUCAAAUAACUUUGAGAGCAAGGACCCAUACAACAUGGAAGAAAUUGUGAUGCCAUUACACAAGUUCAUCAAUCACCCUAUAGCUCAAGAAGUUGUUCACAAUGGAGCAACAUUUCAGGUUGCAGGAUUGACAAACAACUCCUAUCUAUCAGAAGCACAUGAAGUGCGCCAUUGUGUACAGAAGUAUAAACUUCUUGGUGACCAUGUCCUACAAGUCGCAAAGAAGAAGUUGGAUGAUAUGUUAUAUGUCGGUCUCACUGAGGAGCACAGAGAAUCUGCAACAAUGUUUGCAAAUGUAGUUGGUGCCCAGGUGAUUUCACAGCUGGGAGGAUCAAAUUCUAGUGAGGAGAGUGCUGCUGACAGCAAAUCCGAACAGAACUACUCAGAUUCAGAUUCCAAGCCGGAUAAUAAUGAUCUUCGGAACAGAACCCCAAAUGGGAAGGAAAGUGAGUUUGCUUCUCCUGAAACUGUUGAACCAGCGAAAGGAAAUAUGACUGUGGAAGAACUUAUGGAAUCUUAUGAAGACUGCAUUUCUAAUUUACGGAAGUCCCAAACACUCCGGCACAACGCUUCUUUGAAGAGAAUCUCCCCGGCAAACUUUACAAAGGAGUAUGACAGGCACGACUUCAGGUUCCUGAAGCGGUCCUCCAGCAGAUAAGGCAACUUAACCACCUUGAUUUGGAGCUUUAUAAACAUGCGCAGAAUAUCUUUGCAAAGCAACAUAAGCGUAAUUUUGGCAUCACAGAAAUUUGGCGGAGGAUGCUGAAGAGCUCAUAUGGCACAGGCAUAAAAGUCCUCUCAUUAGGCGCGACUCUUGUUUUACUCCUUUUGGCCUUCCAUGUAUUUGUUAACGCGAAAAGAAGAACUUCAAAAGUUAAAGUAUGAAUAUAUCUUUCAUAGACUGUAAGGAUCACAGUGAUAAAAUUAUUGGGAAAACUGAUAUAGUUUUCAUCCAUUGGUUUUAUUUUGGGUCAUUCGCAUCAGCCCAUCCUUGGUUGGAUCUGUCAACUGCAUGUUUGAAACUCAGUCGCAGAAAAGGUGACUAUUUAGUUUCAAUGGUUGUAGCCAUGAUGAUAUCUGCAUCUUGAAAACAAAAAUGGAUCACAAACCAGUAAUGCUCCUUAAGAAGUUCAAUUUUUGUGUAAUUAAUAAAGAUUAUUGUGAGCUCACCCUCUUGCACUCAAGUUCGAGUCCCCUUCCCCGUAGAUUAGAUUAAUUUUGAGUAGUUUAGAUUGUAGCUUGUAUCUUUUUCAUAAAAUGAUUGUUGUGACUUAUGACUUA